UACAGAGGUCUCAGGCGUUACUCGGAUUGACUGGGCGUAAAGGGCGCGUAGGCGGUUUGUACAGUCAGACGUGAAAUUCCUGGGCUCAACCUGGGGGCUGCGUUUGAUACGUGCGGACUUGAGUUCGGAAGAGGGUCGUGGAAUUCCCAGUGUAGAGGUGAAAUUCGUAGAUAUUGGGAAGAACACCAGUGGCGAAGGCGACUCACUGGACACAUAUUGACGCUGAGGUGCGAAAGCGUGGGGAGCAAACAGG
rnacentral:rRNA from 1 species